rnacentral:misc_RNA from 1 species
AAGUCGUAACAAGGUUACCGUAGGUGAACCUGCGGUAGGAUCAUUAUUGAAUUCCACACACCUUAUGCAUGUGCACCGUAUCACGACGGCCCCACUGGUCGUCGCACUCUCACCCACCCACACACACUUCUCGAAUGUACCUCAUUUUAAUGAAUGGACAACUUUUAGCAACGGAUCUCUUGGCUCUC